rnacentral:rRNA from 1 species
UGGGGAAUAUUGGACAAUGGGGGGAACCCUGAUCCAGCCAUGCUGCGUGUGUGAAGAAGGCCUUAUGGUUGUAAAGCACUUUAAGUGAGGAGGACGGUACUGGUAUUAAUACUACCAGGUACUGGACGUUACUCGCAGAAUAAGCACCGGCUAACUCUGUGCCAGCAGCCGCGGUAAUACAGAGGGUGCGAGCGUUAAUCGGAUUUACUGGGCGUAAAGCGUGCGUAGGCGGCUAAUUGAGUCGGAUGUGAAAUCCCCGAGCUUAACUUGGGAAUUGCAUUCGAUACUGGUUAGCUAGAGUGUGGGAGAGGAUGGUAGAAUUCCAGGUGUAGCGGUGAAAUGCGUAGAGAUCUGGAGGAAUACCGAUGGCGAAGGCAGCGAUCUGUCCGAACACUGUCGCUGAGGUACGAAAGAAUGGGGAGCAAACAGG